rnacentral:rRNA from 1 species
UGAAUACGAGACGCUAAGGCGUCGAAGUAGUGUAUGUCAUACUUCCAAGAAAAGCUUGCACUGUCAUAGAUAAAAAACGCCUGUACCAUAACCGACACAGGUGGGUAGGUAGAGUAUACUAAGGGGCGCGAGAUAACUCUCUCUAAGGAACUCGGCAAAAUAACUCCGUAACUUCGGGAGAAGGAGUGCCUUAUUCUUAAGGUUGCAAUAACAAGAUCCAAGCAACUGUUUAUCAAAAACACAGGUCUCCGCUAAGUCGUAAGACGAUGUAUGGGGGCUGACGCCUGCCCAGUGCCAGAAGGUUAAAGAAGCUGGUUAGCAUUUGCGAAGCUAGUAACUGAAGCCCUGGUGAACGGCGGCCGUAACAAUAACGGUCCUAAGGUAGCGAAAUUCCUUGUCGGGUAAGUUCCGACCCGCACGAAAGGCGUAAUGAUUUGGAUACUGUCUCGGAGAGGGGCUCGGUGAAAUAGACUUGUCUGUGAAGAUGCGGACUACCUGCACCAGGACAGAAAGACCCUAUGAAGCUUUACUGUAACUUGAAAUUGAAAUUGGACUUUAUUCGCGCAGUAUAGGUGGGAGGCGUUGAUUAUAAUCUUGCGGGAUUAUUGGAGCCAUUAGUGAGAUACCACUCUUGUAAUGUUAGAUUUCUAACUUUGAAUCAUUAUCUGGUCAAAGAACAGUUUCAGGCGGGCAGUUUGACCGGGGCGGUCGCCUCCCAAACGGUAACGGAGGCGUACAAAGGUUUCCUCUGAACGGUUAGAAAUCGUAUCUAGAGUGUAAAGGCAUAAGGAAGCUUGACUGUGAGACCUACAAGUCGAGCAGGGACGAAAGUCGGUCUUAGUGAUCUGACGGUACUGAGUGGAAAGGCCGUCACUCAACGGAUAAAAGUUACUCUAGGAUAACAGGCUGAUCUCCCCCAAGAGUUCACAUCGACGGGGAGGUUUGGCACCUCGAUGUCGGCUCAUCGCAUCCUGGGGCGGUAGUACGUCCCAAGGGUUGGGCUGUUCGCCCAUGAAAGCGGUACGCGAGCUGGGUUCAGAACGUCGUGAGACAGUUCGGUCCAUAUCCGGUGUAGGCGUUAGAAUAUUGAGAGGAGCCUUCCUUAGUACGAGAGGACCGAGAAGGACAUACCUCUGGUGUACCAGUUAUCGUGCCAACGGUAGACGCUGGGUAGCUAUGUAUGGAGUGGAUAACCGCUGAAAGCAUCUAAGUGGGAAGCCCACCUCAAGAUAAGUAUUCUC